rnacentral:snRNA from 1 species
UUGCUUUAGCAGCACAUAUACUAAAAUUAAAAUGAUACAGAGAAGAUCAGCAUGGCCCCUACACAAGGAUUACAGGCAAAUCUGUGAAGCAUUCCAGACUUGU